rnacentral:rRNA from 1 species
GACGAACGCUGGCGGCGUGCCUAAUACAUGCAAGUCGAGCGAUGAGGCUUGGUGCUUGCACCAAUUUGGAGAGGAGCGCACGGGUGAGUAACGCGUGGGGCAUCUGCCUUUGAGCGGGGGACAACCUUUGGAAACGAAUGAUAAUACCGCAUAAUAACUUUAAACAUAAGGUUUAAGUUUGAAAGAUGGAAUUGCAUCACUCAAAGGUGAUCUCUCGUUGUAUUGGCUAGUUGGUGAGGUACAGGCUCAUCAAGGCGAUGAUACAUAGCCGACCUGAGAGGGUGAGUGGCCACAUUGGGACUGUGACACGCCCCAAACGCCUACGGGAGGCACCCGUAGGGAUUCGUCGGCCAUGGAUGAAAGUCUGACCGAGCAACGCCGCGUGAGUGAACAAGGUUGCCGGGUCGUAAAUCUCUGUUUGUAGAGAAGAACGUUGGUUCGAGUGGAAAGCUCAUCAAGUGACGGUAACUACCCAGAAAGGGACGGCUAACUACGUG